rnacentral:rRNA from 1 species
UCCAGACUCCUACGGGAGGCAGCAGUGGGGAAUAUUGCACAAUGGGGGGAACCCUGAUGCAGCGACGCCGCGUGGGUGAAGGAGUACUUCGGUACGUAAAGCCCUCUCAGCAGGAAAGAAAAUGACGGUACCUGACUAAGAAGCCCCGGCUAACUACGUGCCAGCAGCCGCGGAAAUACGUAGGGGGCAAGCGUUAUCCGGAUUUACUGGGUGUAAAGGGAGCGUAGACGGCAGUGCAAGUCCGGAGUGAAAGGCCGGGGCUCAACCCUGGGACUGCUCUGGAAACUGUAAAGCUGGAGUGCGGGAGGGGCAGGCGGAAUUCCUGGUGUAGCGGUGAAAUGCGUAGAUAUCAGGAGGAACACCGGCGGCGAAGGCGGCCUGCUGGACCGUAACUGACGUUGAGGCUCGAAAGCGUGGGGAGCAAACAGGAUUAGAUACCCUUGUAUAU